CUUCUGAACCUUUGACCUCAAAUCAGGUAGGACUACCCGCUGAACUUAAGCAUAUCAAUAAGCGGAGGAAAAGAAACUAACAAGGAUUCCCCUAGUAACUGCGAGUGANNNNNGAAAAGCUCAAAUUUAAAAUCUGGCAGUCUCUGGCUGNCCGAGUUGUA
rnacentral:rRNA from 1 species